UACAGAGGGUGCAAGCGUUAAUCGGAAUUACUGGGCGUAAAGCGCGCGUAGGUGGUUUGUUAAGUUGGAUGUGAAAGCCCCGGGCUCAACCUGGGAACUGCAUCCAAAACUGGCAAGCUAGAGUACGGUAGAGGGUGGUGGAAUUUCCUGUGUAGCGGUGAAAUGCGUAGAUAUAGGAAGGAACACCAGUGGCGAAGGCGACCACCUGGACUGAUACUGACACUGAGGCACGAAAGCUGGGGGAGCAAACAGG
rnacentral:rRNA from 1 species